rnacentral:rRNA from 1 species
UACGGGGGGGGCAAGCGUUGUUCGGAAUUACUGGGCGUAAAGGGCUCGUAGGCGGCCAACUAAGUCAGACGUGAAAUCCCUCGGCUUAACCGGGGAACUGCGUCUGAUACUGGAUGGCUUGAAUCCGGGAGAGGGAUGCGGAAUUCCAGGUGUAGCGGUGAAAUGCGUAGAUAUCGGAGGAACACCGGUGGCGAAGGCGGCACCUCGACGG